AACGAACGCUGGCGGCAUGCCUAACACAUGCAAGUCGAACGAGACCUUCGGGUCUAGUGGCGCACGGGUGCGUAACGCGUGGGAAUCUACCCUUGGUUCGGAAUAACAGUUAGAAAUGACUGCUAAUACCGGAUGAUGACGUAAGUCCAAAGAUUUAUCGCCCAAGGAUGAGCCCGCGUAAGAUUAGCUUGUUGGUGGGGUAAUGGCCUACCAAGGCGACGAUCUUUAGCUGGUCUGAGAGGAUGAUCAGCCACACUGGGACUGAGACACGGCCCAGACUCCUACGGGAGGCAGCAGUGGGGAAUAUUGGACAAUGGGCGAAAGCCUGAUCCAGCAAUGCCGCGUGAGUGAUGAAGGCCUUAGGGUUGUAAAGCUCUUUUACCAGGGAUGAUAAUGACAGUACCUGGAGAAUAAGCUCCGGCUAACUCCGUGCCAGCCGCCGCCGUAA
rnacentral:rRNA from 1 species